rnacentral:rRNA from 1 species
UACGGAGGGUGCAAGCGUUGUUCGGAAUUAUUGGGCGUAAAGAGCACGCAGGCGGUUUGGCAAGUCGGACGUGAAAAUCCGGGGCUCAACCCCGGACCUGCAUCCGAAACUGCCCGACUAGAGGUAGGUAGGGGAGAUCGGAAUUCCUGGUGUAGCGGUGAAAUGCGCAGAUAUCAGGAGGAACACCGGUGGCGAAGGCGGAUCUCUGGGCCUUACCUGACGCUCAGGUGCGAAAGCUAGGGGAGCGAACAGG